GAAGCGGGCAACAGCUCAAAUUUUGAAAUCUGGCCCCUUUCGGGGUCCGAGUUGUAAUUUGUAGAGAGUGUUUCGGGCGAGACCACGGUCUAAGUUCAUUGGAACAUGGCGUCAUAGAGGGUGAGAAUCCCGUAUGUGACUGUGGAUCGAGCCCAUSUGAAGCCUCUUCGACGAGUCGAGUUGUUUGGGAAUGCAGCUCAAAAUGGGUGGUAAAUUUCAUCUAAAGCUAAAUACUGGCUGGAGACCGAUAGCGCACAAGUAGAGUGAUCGAAAGAUGAAAAGCACUUUGGAAAGAGAGUCAAACAGUACGUGAAAUUGUUGAAAGGGAAGCGCUUGCAACCAGACCUGUCCGUAGGUGAUCAGCCGCUGUUCUCAGUGGUGCACUCGCUCUGCGAUCAGGCCAGCAUCGGUUCGGGCGGUCGGAUAAAGGCCUUGGGAAUGUAGCUUCCUUCGGGGAGUCUUAUAGCCCUCGGUGCAAUGCGGCCASCCGGGACCGAGGACCGCGCUUCGGCUAGGAUGCUGGCGUAAUGGUUGUAAGCGACCCGUCUUGAAACACGGACCAAGGAGUCUAACAUMUAUGCGAGUGUUUGGGUGUUAAACCCMUGCGCGGAAUGAAAGUGAACGGAGGUGAGAACCCUUAAGGGCGCAUCAUCGACCGAUCCAGAUGUCUUCGGAUGGAUUUGAGUAUGAGCAUAGCUGUUGGGACCCGAAAGAUGGUGAACUAUGCCUGAAUAGGGUGAAGCCAGAGGAAACUCUGGUGGAGGCUCGCAGCGGUUCUGACGUGCAAAUCGAUCGU
rnacentral:rRNA from 1 species